rnacentral:rRNA from 1 species
AUACGGGAGGCAGCAGUGGGGAAUUUUGCGCAAUGGGGGAAACCCUGACGCAGCAACGCCGCGUGGAGGAUGAAGUCCCUUGGGACGUAAACUCCUUUCGACCGGGACGAUUAUGACGGUACCGGGAGAAGAAGCCCCGGCUAACUCCGUGCCAGCAGCCGCGGUAAUACGGGGGGGGCGAGCGUUGUUCGGAAUUAUUGGGCGUAAAGGGCGCGUAGGCGGUGUCGCAAGUCGGUAGUGAAAUCUCCAGGCUCAACUUGGAGUCUGCUGCCGAAACUGCGGUGCUUGAGUAUGGGAGAGGUGAGUGGAAUUCCCGGUGUAGCGGUGAAAUGCGUAGAUAUCGGGAAGAACACCUGUGGCGAAAGCGGCUCACUGGACCAUAACUGACGCUGAGGCGCGAAAGCUAGGGGAGCAAACAGGAUUAGAUACCCCGGU